rnacentral:rRNA from 1 species
CUUGCUGGGUUGGAUGAGUGGCGAACGGGUGAGUAACACGUGAGUAACCUGCCCCCUUCUUUGGGAUAACGGUCGGAAACGGCUGCUAAUACCGGGUAUUCACUGUCCUUCGCAUGGGGGGUGGUGGAAAGGUUUUUUCUGGUGGGGGAUGGGCUCGCGGCCUAUCAGCUUGUUGGUGGGGUGAUGGCUUACCAAGGCUUUGACGGGUAACCGGCCUGAGAGGGUGACCGGUCACAUUGGGACUGAGAUACGGCCCAGACUCCUACGGGAGGCAGCAGUGGGGAAUAUUGCACAAUGGGCGAAAGCCUGAUGCAGCGACGCCGCGUGAGGGAUGACGGCCUUCGGGUUGUAAACCUCUUUCGCUCAUGGUCAAGCCGCAACAGUGGUUGUGGUGAGGGUAGUGGGUAAAGAAGCACCGGCUAACUACGUGCCAGCAGCCGCGGUAAUACGUAGGGUGCGAGCGUUGUCCGGAAUUAUUGGGCGUAAAGGGCUUGUAGGCGGUUUGUCGCGUCUGCCGUGAAAUCCUCUGGCUUAACUGGGGGCGUGCGGUGGGUACGGGCAGGCUUGAGUGCGGUAGGGGAGACUGGAACUCCUGGUGUAGCGGUGGAAUGCGCAGAUAUCAGGAA